AAAGGAAUAGACGGGAGCCCGCACAAGCAGUGGAGUAUGUGGUUUAAUUCGACGCAACGCGAAGAACCUUACCAGGAUUUGACAUCCCAGGAACCCGGCGUAAUGGCUGGGGUGCCCCUUCGGGGGAAUCUGGAGACAGGUGGUGCAUGGUUGUCGUCAGCUCGUGUCGUGAGAUGUUGGGUUAAGUCCCGCAACGAGCGCAACCCUUACUGUCAGUUGCUACGCAAGAGCACUCUGACGGGACUGCCGUUGACAAAACGGAGGAAGGUGGGGAUGACGUCAAAUCAUCAUGCCCCUUACAUUCUGGGCUACACACGUACUACAAUGGCGAGGACAAAGGGACGCGAUGUCGCGAGGCGGAGCAAAUCCCAUAAAAAUCGCCCCAGUUCAGAUCGCAGGCUGCAACCCGCCUGCGUGAAGUCGGAAUUGCUAGUAAUCGCGGAUCAGCAUGCCGCGGUGAAUACGUUCCCGGGCUUUGUACACACCGCCCGU
rnacentral:rRNA from 1 species